CUAGAAGUCACAGUGCCUCUUAAUGGCUUUUGUUUGAAAACAUUUUUGAAAAUUCAGCCAUUCUAACCAGGAGGAUUCAUGAGCUUUUUAAGAAAACAAAAUGUGGUUUUACAAUUUAUGUCACUACAUGAACUGGACCAGUGCUUGGAAAAAAACAAUUUUAUUUUUUCUAUGUAAAGAGAUGGAUAGCAGCAUAGGAACUCCACUGGAAUAUUUAGCUGUUUAAGUCAGUCUAUACUUUAGUUCACUUUGUUAUUAGUACUCAAGUUCAUUUUUACAGAGAGUGCGGAGUACUGUUCUUUUAAGUGCAGCUUACAAACACGAGCACUUCAGCUACCUGAAAUGUUUGGCAUCGGGCUUUCUUAAAAACAAGCAAACAACAGUGAGCUAAUGUUCCUUCAGACAUCUCUAAUUUGAGUAUGUGCAAUUUCAUAUCUAUUUUCACUUAUUUGACUUGGGGUUUACAUAUACAGUUACUUAAACAAAAAUACUUGUAGGUGCUACAUAGUUUGUUUUAAAACAAUCAAGAUUUGCAGUGGUUAGGCAUCAAGAACCUCAUGGGGUUUGUGCGAGACUAAUGUCUUCUCUGAAGAGCCCACAAGCUAAUAUUUGUAUGAUUAACAAGAGUAACUUAGUAGUUUAGACAACUAUUUUCUUAACUAAUGACUGACGUAAAUCUGAAACAUUUCUUGCAGUACCAAGAAGCUGUUAGUAUGAUUGAAUUGUGGUGAAAACAGGAGUACAACAAUUACAGAAAUACAUGGAGGCAGACAGGGCAAGUUUAUUGAGAGGCUCUUAAGCUUACUUUUACCUAUUAUGUUUUGAACUAUGAGUUCCCUUCACAGCAUAACGAGUAGUGUCAAGUAUUUUGUUAAUGCUUCAGUGUGAUUAUUUAGAAUUGGUUGUGCCUUCCAGUCAUUCAGCAUUCAAGGCUUUGAAGAGAAGCUGCUGGCAAAGCAGUACUAUUUGCAGGGCUAGUUGCAGAUUUGAGCACUUCACAGUGGAAUUUCCAUGCGUUGAAAAACUGAGAUAUAUCCAUUUGCUAUCUAUUUUCACUGUUCGCUAUCUAAUUAUCUAUUGUCAGAACAUCCAUCAGCAAGUAGUAGUGGCUUGGGACACAGCUUUUUCUAAAACAUGAUGAGGUUGCAGGUUUAAUUUUUUUAUUAAAAAAAAAAUGCUGCUUUUGUUUAGCUUGAGCUGCUUGGUGUAGUGUGGGAGAUGAGAAGUUAGUGAUUUUGUGGGCACAAAGGUGGUUUUUCAUCAGGGAAGAGACAAUAAAACCUCUCAGAUUCUUGUGAAUUCGUGCCCUGGCUGAAUCGAACCAUGGGAAUCCAACUGCAGAAGAUGUUCACAAGCAGCAACACUGGUGAAGCUUAAUGUGUUUUGUAAUUUCUUUUGAGAAAACAAUCUUAGGUUCAGAUAAUUCUUGGUGGUGGACAGGUACACAGUAUAAACAAAAACACACACAGGGACUUCAGAUCGUUUAACGGGUCUUCAAAAUUAACCCAUAUGUUAUAACUUAAGACUUUCUUUACGUUGUAAGAGGUUCUCAAAUUGCUUGUGAAGAUGAUGCAACAGUAAAUGGAGUUGCAAAAGCACAAAUCUGUAUUAAGAAUGCAGACAAAUGCAAGAGCAUUUUCAACCAGCUUCUUUGGUCAACACGCAGUAUUGCAACUGCAGGAAAGACUUGAUGGAUAGCUAAUUCAGGGCAAACACUGACAGCAUGUCAACUGGACAGCACACCUUUUGAGAGGCAGGAGAGAGAAACAUUAUUUGUAUAAGAAACUCAUUUCUGCAGUUUCAAAUUUAGGCUUGAAAAUGGAAGAUUCCUCCUCACUAAGAUAACUUAGGCGACAAUGAAAGAUAAACAGAUUAUUGAAGAUAAACUUUAGAUGAAAGACAAAGCCUGAAUUCAGAAAGGCACUUGGACUGCAGUAAUAUGAGCUAAAAAGUGCAGUGUAAAGUAAAAAUACAGCAGGAACCCUCACGUUUGUUAAGAAAUAUUUCAAAAGAGGGAGAUAAGAAUUCCCUGUUCCCUACAUGCAGUUUUGCUGGUGAUCUGAAAAAAACGAGGCAUACUGCACUUCCUGAUACAAACGUAUGAUGAAGUUAAUGAAAUAUGGCCACUUUAACUGCAUUUUCAAGUAUACCACUUCUAACUGUAUUUUAACCGUACAAACUAAAGCAGCAAGUAGAAAUCACAUUUUCCUUCUUUGAAGCACAGGAGAGGUAUGAUUGUUUGGUAUCUACUUAGAAUUCCCAGUCUAUAUCGUGUUGAGUUGCAGUAAUACAUCCAACUUCAGCCUCAGCUGCUGCCGAGGGCAGCGUCAAGAACUCUGAUCUGUUGUUUUGAACAGGGGGCGGUAAUAGGGACAGUAGCGAGUUCUGGGUUUGUUCUUUUACCUGUUUGAAGAAUGUAUGAGAAAGCAAACUGCUUGCUGAUGGCCUUUUCUCAGGGUCCUGCUGCAAGCAAAGUUCUACCAAGUUGUAGAAUGCAGGGGAAAAUGUUUUGGAAGCAGGAUUUUGUAGUCUUUCGCUCGUCAUUGUGCGUGUCAUACUCUCACUAAUUCCAGAAUCAACACCUGAUUGGGAAUUCUUCAUUCUGGAUUCCCCAUGGGGGAAGGCAUUUAUAUCCCAAGGAUAGUAUGUGGGACCUUUCAGCUUCUGCAGCAGCAUCUGAGUGCGAGGCAUAUCUUGAAAUGGAACGUGUCCAUUGGCUAAUUCACAUGCUGUUAUUCCCACGCUGUAGAUGUCAGACUUCAUAUUAUACCCAGACAAAUCCUGGGGGAGAAAUAAAACUUUACUGGACCACUGAAGCUGCUGAUGGGUGCAAAAGGAAACACAAAAACCAGUGUCAAGACAAUUCUAAAACUCUGUCAUCCACACAGGACUGAGGCAGUUAACACAUUGAAACGGGCUUUUUUUCAGAAAUGUGAUGUUGCACUGAAGACAGGAUCUGCUCUAGUUUUCACGAAGAGAAUUGGGCAGAGAUUCAGUUGUAAGCAUCACCUUACCAACAGCCUCAAAACCUAUUCUCUUUAGGAGAAUCACAAAUUCAGUACAUCUGGGUUUUUUUGCUUUGUUUUUAAGUUGCAGUUCAACAGUUUCUAUUGCACUUCUACAAGCAGAUAUAAGAUAGAAGUCAAGUACUUCCUGUUACCUUGGAAUAAGAAGAAUGAAGUAUAUUUUACACUAACCUGUCUCAGUAGUUCAGGGCUCAGCCAAGGAAGUACAGAUGUACUAAACUGAGGGAAGUCAUACACCACCUUUGACUUUUGUCCAUUGUUAACUAAACUGUAGAGGUUGUUUAAGCCAGAGAGAGAAACCAGUCCAUCCCCUGAAAUCAGAAUGUGGCUAGCUUUAAUAUUCCUGUAACAAAAAGUGGUACAUUUUAGUUACACAAAUCACUCAAAGCACUACUAAAGUAGAAAUACGAAAAUCUUUCAGUAAUUUAUAUUGAGGGGUUUACAGUUCUGUUUAGCAGAUUAUUUUCAUGGGUGGUCUUCACUUAACAUGAGUGGUCUUUCUAAUACACCCUGAGAGAUAGUUAGCAAGAAAAACUGACUGCCAGACAUCAGAGAAGGGUAUUCUUUCCUUCCCUGCAAAGAGGGUAAAGUAAGGAAGAAUUUAUCUAUCCUGCUAUAUUAUUCAAAAACAAACAAAUCUAACAAAAACCCCUGCUGCUGCACUGUGCAUCUGCUAUAUGAAAUAUAUGGAAAAAAGGAAAGGAGACAACAGUUGAACCGAACAUGGGUUUUGAAGUGAAACUAAAUUCCUAAUAAAGUAGAUGCUGUCAUCUGAUUCUUACCGAUGGCAUUGACGUUGUCCUACCUGUGAAUGUAGCCAUUCUGGUGCAUGUAAUUUAAUCCUCUGAUUGCACCAAACAGAAUGUUCCCUAUCAAAGCUUCACUCAUUCCUUCAGGAAAGUAAGUCUUCAGCAGGUGUCUAGCAGAACCUGGGAGCAGGGAGAAAAAAAUACACUAAGCCUAACAAGCCACCUUAAACUUAUUUUCUACACCUCUUUUGUUGUAUACAUUUGCCAAGAAAGGUAUUCUCACCUUUAUAUUGACUAUGGUACAUCAGGAACACUUACAUGGAUGCAACUGAAGCAUCCAUCAAUCAUAAGGAUUGCACUCAUGUCAGGCUUGCUAACUAAAAGCCUAUGCCAAACCUGCACUGAAACCAGCAAGUUUUCUAUUCUGUAAGGUCAAAUGCGUCUCCCUCUUAUUAGUCCAUACUUUGUGGGUAUUAGGAUUAAGUGAAAUGUAAUGCAGUUCAAAUGUCAAUCUUUUCUGGGGAGGAAGAUGAUAUACAGAAGACUUAUCUAAACAAGUGGUUUGUGAAAGCGUGUGUCUGUUGGGGUUUUUUUCUUUUUUUUUCCCCUCUCCUUCUCUAUGAGACAGGAGAUUCUUCAAGAAAAAACCCUUGUCAACUGCAUAGCCCAAAUUUCAUCAGUCCUUUUCCUUAUUCCAAAAUUUGCAGUUAGCAGUUCUUACCAUAGGCCAUGAAUGGAGAAAUGACCCAAAGCCAACUACCAGCUGUAAACACUGUCCAAAGCGUCAUUAUGUUGGGAUGCUGGAAAAAGUGGGAUAAAACCACCUCAUUCUAUGGAAUUAAAUGAAAAUGGAUGUAUUAAUCACAAAACAACUGUCCUACUAAGAACAUUAAUUGUGUCAGUAAUCAGUAGAAAAAAACGCCCAGUGUAUUUAUACUAAAUUGCAUGUGAUGAGCAUAGCUGCAAUAGAUAUCCAAAUAGCUUGUGUGUGAUGGCAUUUUUCUGAAGUCUGCUUUGUUCACAGUCCUAAGUUUUGCUGUUAAAUGCAGAGCACAAGAUGUGUUUCAAAGGAAGAGUUAUAAAGUUCCAUGAGUAUUUCUAAAACACUUGUCAACAGUUUCUUCUGCAAGCAAUCUUUCCAAUUUAUACAUGCCUUUUCUAUUCCUUUGAAGAGAAAAUUUGAAUUCAAUCACCC
rnacentral:lncRNA from 1 species